rnacentral:rRNA from 1 species
AGUGGCGGACGGGUGAGUAACACGUAAGAAUUUGCCUUUAGGAGGGGGACAACAACUGGAAACGGUUGCUAAUACCCCAUAUGCUUUCGAGUGAAAUGGAUUUUUCCGCCUAAAGAGAAGCUUGCGGCUGAUUAGCUUGUUGGUGAGGUAAUGGCUCACCAAGGCGACGAUCAGUAUCUGGUUUGAGAGGAUGAUCAGACACACUGGAACUGAGACACGGUCCAGACUCCUACGGGAGGCAGCAGUGGGGAAUUUUCCGCAAUGGGCGAAGGCCUGACGGAGCAAUCUCGCGUGAGGGAUGACGGCCUAUGGGUUGUAAACCUCUUUUUUCAGGGAGGAACAAAAUGACGUGUACCUGAAGAAUAAGCAUCGGCUAACUCCGUGCCAGCAGCCGCGGUAAGACGGAGGAUGCAAGUGUUAUCCGGAAUCACUGGGCGUAAAGCGUCUGUAGGUGGUUUAAUAAGUCAACUGUUAAAUCUUGAAGCUCAACUUCAAAAUCGCAGUCGAAACUAUUAGACUAGAGUAUAGUAGGGGUAAAGGGAAUUUCCAGUGGAGCGGUGAAAUGCGUAGAUAUUGGAAAGAACACCGAUGGCGAAGGCACUUUACUGGGCUAUUACUGACACUCAGAGACGAAAGCUAGGGUAGCAAAUGGGAUUAGAUACCCCAGUAGUCCUAGCCGUAAACAAUGGAUACUAGAUGU